AUGGGUAUUGUAGGGGCCACUAGCAAGGUGGCGACCCUGAAGGAGGCAGUGUCCGCGGCCGAACGUAAUGCGGCCGCGGAACGCUCCGAGCGAGAGAAGCAGGAGGCGCGGGUGGCGGAGGUACAGCAAGAGCUCCAGGCUCUCAUGGAAAAACAUGAGAGUUUGGAGCGUGACUCGGAGACUCGAGAGUCCGAGCUUGCGACGGCUCUUGAGAGUGCCAAAGCCGCUAAGGCCGAAGCCUAUAAGGCCCUCCAAGAAAUCGAGGAGUUGAAGAAAAUAGCGGCGGGUAAGGCAUUUUUCAUGCAAAGUAAGCAUGUGAGCGUUAAUUACCUGUUACUUACCCAAAUUCGGAGCUCUCCAGGAACAUUCGCAGAUCUUCCUCGCAGUGUAUCCGAUGCUGCCGCAUUCUACCGGGCCGAGGAGGGGAGCUCGAUGGAGAAGGUAUUCUGGUCUCAGUAUGCUAAGGCCGGACAUCUGGUGCCCCUUAGCGACCAACUGAAGCAGCUGGUCGAGCUCCACAAGGUGGCCGAAGAGGCCAUGAAGGGCCUCAUAGUUCGGCUGUGGCCUAAGGAGGCCAUGCCUGGGAGCUACUUUGGCCUGGUGCGGCGGCUGGUGGAUGCGUGCCCGUGGGUUGAAGUCAUCAAGCACUCCGCUUGUAUUGAGGGUGCCCGUCGGGCCCUUGCCCGCGCAAAGGUGCACUGGGGCAAGAUGGAUGCCCAGAAGCUUGUGACAGACCCGCCACCACAGGGCAAGGAGCACCGCACACCCGAGAUGUAUUAUAAGAGUGUCCUGAAGGGUGCCCGCACUAUUGCGGGUGAGUGCUCCAAAGAUGUAAUAUUUGAGUAG
rnacentral:rRNA from 1 species